AUUGAACGCUGGCGGCAGGCCUAACACAUGCAAGUCGAGCGAAUGAGGGAAGCUUGCUUCCCGAUUUAGCGGCGGACGGGUGAGUAAUGCCUAGGAAUCUGCCUAUUAGUGGGGGAUAACGUUCCGAAAGGAACGCUAAUACCGCAUACGUCCUACGGGAGAAAGUGGGGGAUCUUCGGACCUCACGCUAAUAGAUGAGCCUAGGUCGGAUUAGCUAGUUGGUGGGGUAACGGCUCACCAAGGCGACGAUCCGUAGCUGGUCUGAGAGGAUGAUCAGCCACACUGGAACUGAGACACGGUCCAGACUCCUACGGGAGGCAGCAGUGGGGAAUAUUGGACAAUGGGCGAAAGCCUGAUCCAGCCAUGCCGCGUGUGUGAAGAAGGUCUUCGGAUUGUAAAGCACUUUAAGUUGGGAGGAAGGGUUGUAAGCUAUUAUCUUGCAGCUUUGACGUUACCAACAGAAUAAGCACCGGCUAACUCUGUGCCAGCCGCCGCGGUAACAC
rnacentral:rRNA from 1 species